rnacentral:rRNA from 1 species
UACGUAGGGGGCAAGCGUUAUCCGGAUUUACUGGGUGUAAAGGGAGCGUAGACGGCAUUGCAAGUCCGGAGUGAAAGCCCACGGCCCAACCGUGGGACUGCUCUGGAAACUGUAGAGCUGGAGUGCGGGAGGGGCAGGCGGAAUUCCUAGUGUAGCGGUGAAAUGCGUAGAUAUUAGGAGGAACGCCGGCGGCGAAGGCGGCCUGCUGGACCGUGACUGACGUUGAGGCUCGAAAGCGUGGGGAGCAAACAGG